CACAGCUGCAGUGGACAUCCCGGUUGCUUGAUGGACGAAGAAGGCCAACUGAUCCAGCCUCAAGACCAAAGCUGCUGGGCCACCCUGCCCGAUGUGUGCCUACAUCGUAUUUUCUGGUGGCUGGGAGACAAGGACAGGUCCAGAGCAGCCCUUGUCUGCAGAAGGUGGAACCAGAUGAUGUAUUCGGCCGACCUCUGGCGACACAGGGCCAUCACGUUUAGUGGGAGACAUUCCAGGGUACACGCGUACGAAUUUGAGUCGGCUGUUUGGUAUGUUAAGAAAUUUGGUCGUUAUCUGGAGCACCUGGAGAUCAAAUUCCUGACUCCUUACAGCGUUGUCCUGACCAGGAAGUUCCAGGUCACCAUGCAAGGCCUUUUCUCGUGUCUGGGCAAGAGAAACAACCGUCUGAAAUCCCUCUCCAUCCAGUACCUGGAACUGGACCGCCUGGUCUGGAGGAACAGCAUCAGAAGCUUGUUCUUGAAAAGCUUGAGCUCCUUCUUGAAGAAAAUGGGCAAACACCUGGAUCAUCUCAACCUAAAAGGGGCUAGGCUCACCGUGGAGCAGGGCUGCCACAUCCUCAACUCCCUGAGCUACUUAAGGACAGAGAGUGCGGUGUCAGAGCUCAACAUCGAGGACUACUUCAGCCACCGCCUCGCUGUCUACAGCAGCCUCCAGUUCAACCAGACCAUGGCCACGUUCCGCAACCUGGUGUCCCUGACCCUCAACUACAACUGCAUCUCCGAUGAGCUGCUGGAGAACUUGGGUGAGAACAAUGCCGGCACCCUCUGGAGCAUGAACAUCAAGUGCCACGCUCAUGACCCCCACGGGCAGGUCGUCUGGGGCAUGUCCUGGGCCAAGCUGGCCAGGUACGCCACCAAGCUGAAAGUCAACUUCGUCUUUGAGAAAGUCGUGAAGUAUGAGCGCUUGGCCCGGAUCCUCCUACAGGAGAUCCCGAUCAGGAGCAUCAGUCUGAGAAACUGCUCUUUCAGCAACCCCGACUGGUCCAUGAAGCCCACUCUGACGGAUCUCCUGCCCACCUUCCGACACACUCUGCAGAAACUAAGUUUUGAGUUCAACAACAACCAUGAGUCUCUGGAGGAGGAGCUGCACCUCCUCAUCUUAUCCUGCACGGAGUUGUUUUACUUCAACAUCUGGGCUUUCCUUGAUGUUAACUUUGUGGAGCAGAUCCUGAAGAGUCAGGAAGAAGGGCGGUGUGCCCUGCGCACACUCAAGCCACAGAACUGAAAGCCCAAAGUCGCUUGGAGCAGUGUCUUACUCGGGGACCCUGACUUUUGCUAAUCUCCCUCCGGAAAAGGUGAUUUCCACAUUCACUGUCAUAUCUGAAUGUCCCUGCAAUGCUGUUGGGUGCCUAUGGUUCCUGUUUCAUGAACAUUCAGAAAAGAUCAACACCGGCAAGUGGUGUGGAGUCCCUACCUUGUUACCAAACUCGGGUUCUGCUGCUUGUCACUCAAGAAUCCAAUACUGAGAGACAAGUGUUGGGUAAAAGGAAAGAUAGCUUUGUUGAGGAAGCCAGCAAUCCUGGGGAGAAGGUGGACUCAUGUCCAGUGGAGAACCACUGGACAUGUGGAGAACCAACCAAUGUCAGUGGAGAACCAACUCCCCACUGUUGAUCGGGGGCAAGAGCUUUUAAAGGGGAGUUUUAGGGGUGCACAGGUGGGUGGGGGGCUAUGUGCAGAAGAGCACAGCCAGCUCCAACAGUCACCUUGAACUUGGUCAUUGGUGGUCUGAUCAGCCUCAUCUUGAUUGUUUUAAGUGCAGUUAAUCUUCAGUUCCAGGGUCGCUUUGUUCCCAUUUCCUUGAGGCCAGGUCUUGGAAUUGUGCAAGAUGGAGCAGCUCAUGUCACGGCCACAGUCUGGUCAUCAUGUAGGUAACUUCUUCCACCUGGUGGAGGUUUCAGUAUCUGUAAAACAGCUCAAAGGAUAUGGCUCAGAAUAUUAUCUGUAGCCCUUGAGGAGGAGCUAAAUGUCCUUGACUUUCCUUAAUGGUUAAACUAUGAUUAUUUUGUCUUCUUUGACUGUUUGCAUUUCUUUCUGCAUUUUCUUGUCUGAUUAAAUUUAUUCUUUGGCUAAAGUUUUUCUACAGACAAGAGGUGGCAGAGGGUAAGGGGUAUCUGUCCCAGAAAGGCCCCAUAGAGUCCUGCUUGGUUAUAAUCUAAGGAGAGCUCCCAGGUCUUAGUUGCUGAAACCAGAAGGGCCCUUGGGAGCCAUCUAGUGCCUGUGGACCAGAGAUGAGGCAGCUUGCUUUAGGGGAGAGGGAAGGCUCAGCUGGAGUGCAGACCACCUGGGAGACUGACUGAUUGAUUGAUUGGUGUAAUGAUUUAUUCAUGCUGUGGACCAGUUCUGGUUAGUUUCCUUUCGUCCCCAAACACAGGAUCUAAGCAUAGAGGACUCUUUUAUGGAAAACAUGUUAACAGAAGUAACAUUUUUAUGAACAUGUUUUCCAUAAAAGAGUGGAUUUGUUUUCCAGUUUUGCAAAUCUCUUGCACAUCCCGCUUAAUAGCAGACAGCUGGGUUCUCAUCCGGGUUUCUGUGGUCUGUCAUAACGUCAGACGCUGUGCGGGGAGCCUCCGCAAAACUCCAGAGAGAAUUAAAGUGAAAAAGGCA